rnacentral:rRNA from 1 species
ACGAACGCUGGCGGCAUGCCUAACACAUGCAAGUCGAACGAGACCUUCGGGUCUAGUGGCGCACGGGUGCGUAACGCGUGGGAACCUGCCCUUAGGUUCGGAAUAACUCCCCGAAAGGGGUGCUAAUACCGGAUAAUGUCUUCGGACCAAAGGUUUAUCGCCUUUGGAUGGGCCCGCGUUGGAUUAGCUAGUUGGUAGGGUAAAAGCCUACCAAGGCGACGAUCCAUAGCUGGUCUGAGAGGAUGAUCAGCCACACUGGGACUGAGACACGGCCCAGACUCCUACGGGAGGCAGCAGUGGGGAAUAUUGGACAAUGGGCGAAAGCCUGAUCCAGCAAUGCCGCGUGAGUGAUGAAGGCCUUAGGGUUGUAAAGCUCUUUUACCCGGGAUGAUAAUGACAGUACCGGGAGAAUAAGCUCCGGCUAACUCCGUG